UCCUCGUUAGUAUAGUGGCCAGUAUCCCGCCUGUCACGCGGGUGACCGGGGGUUCGAUUCCCCCGACGGGGAG
rnacentral:tRNA from 1 species